CAAUAGAAAAGAAUUCAGCCCAACUGAUUAGAAAUCCAUAUACAAAUAUCAAAUUGUUUAAAGCUAUCUGGUUAGUUCUACCAGAAGAUAUUUGUUUUCUAGAAACAAACUAAGCUCAUAAAACGGUACGAGAACAAGCAAUUUGAAGACAUAGGAGAAUAUAAUAGCUAACAUGCCCCUUUGUCUUUAGAAUUAAAAAUCUAGCCUUCAUGUUUUCACAAAGGGAACAAACAAGGUUCCAAACACAUGAUGUAAAUUGUUUCAUUAAUUGACACGGCAAUCAACAAUCAAAAUAACAGAUCGUAGGCCAUAAGCAUUGGCACAAAAUAGAACACAUUUUUUUCUGCAACAAACAUACAGACAUGAUGCCAUGGGUUAUAAAUUCCUACACAAGGUUAUCACAAACUAGGAGGAUGGAGCUUUCUUGUCGCUGGUAACCUGGUAAAACAUGAGAAGCGAAAUGUGUUUCAUUGGAUGGGAGUGCACUCACAAACAGACAACCGCAUGCGAAAUCACAGUAGAAUAUGAAAUCAAACUUUCUUAGGGUCCUCGGAAGAAUGAGAUUGCAAGCAGGCUAUGCAUAUUAUUUGCAUUAGAUCAACAUGAAACGUUCAACACAUUCAUUGACAUAGCACUGCAUCAAACACCAAACCCCCCUAAUUUUGUCAACAGUACCCAUGCCAAAGAUAACUUAUUCUGCUGGGAUUGAAUGAGAACUGAAAAGAAAAUGAGUAAUGGCAUAUAUUCUGCUAGUAAAAUGCUACAGGAUUAUCAGAAAACAAUCAAAUGAAGGCUUGAAGCUGAAAUAAGACCAACAUAAUGUUUAACGCUUUAACCCACUCAUUAUCCCAAGAAGCCGGCUGCAAGCAAUAAAUAACAAUUUACAAUAGCAUCCAAAACAUUAUUGUAUCCUGCAAGUUCCCUAGGGCUCAUAGGGCAGUUAUUGCAAAUGGGGCAUCUCCACAUGUUGAAUAUCAACGGCACCAGUGGCGGUGCCACCGUAGGGGCUGGUAUGGGCGGCCGCCCCCGGUAGCCAGAAGCAGGCAAACAAAAAAUUACUAUUUGUUUUUUACGUGGGCCAACACUUAACUAACGACGCAGCCCAGUUGCACAUGCAGGCCAAAGCCCAAAACUAGCUUGCAGGUUAUCCCACACCCAAGCCGACCAGGCAACAGGAAAUCCCCAACAGAGCAAGCGCGAUCCCUAACUUAGGCAUCGCCGUCGCCGCCGACGACACUGAGCUCCGCAUAGCCGGACGCCUGGCACCUGGCAAAUCCAUGGAUGGGCGAACGAGAAGCAGUCCCGGGGGCAUCCAGCGUGGGAGGCAGUGGCGGCGCCACAGCAUCAAGCUCGCGCAAGCAGAGAGUUGCAGUUUGCAAAGGCAGCAAGCGCAACCAGCAGGGAAUCUAUAAGAAAAUGAAACCAAUUGCUGCUUAUUUUGGAACUACCCCAAUUACUGAACCACAAGUGCAGUCUGCUCAAGUGUAUAAUUAACCUGAAUUUGUUCAUGAACUUGAAGUGUCUAAUGAAGGAUCUGAUGCAAACAUUUCACAUGCUCCUGUUCUUGAACUUGAGGUGGCUAAUGAGACCUCUGAUGCUAACAUUUUGCAAGCUCCUAUUCAAGGGUUUAGUCAAGCUGACAUUGAACCUGAUCCGGUACUUCGGCAACAAAUCGGAGAAAAUACUUACCCAGAAAUUAGAGAUGCACUUAGGAGGGAAUAUUUGAAGAAUGGUCCAUGUCAGCCGCUUGGGCAUGAUUUUCCUUGCAACAUUAAUACAGAUAAUAGGGUAUUCAGAGAGGAAUGGUUUGAGGGGUUUGAUUGGCUAGAGUACAGUGUAGACAAAAACCAUGAAUAAUGUUUUUUGCUGCUUUCUUAAGCAGUCAGCAAGCCAUGUAAGUUUGGGGGCAAUGUCUUCAAGCAGGAUGGGUAUAAAAACUGGAAGAAGGCAGUGGAAUAUUGCAGGCUUCAUGUAAGUUUGAUAAAGAGUGCUCACAACAAUGCAAGAAGACGUUGUGCAGAUUUCAAGAAUCAGAAACAGAGUGUGGCAUAUGCAAUCACUACUCAAACUGAGAGGGGCCAUCUUCAAUAUCAAGACAUUUGUUGGCUGUUAUGGGUGUUGUGAGGUUUCUUCUUAGUCAAGGGCUUGCUUUCCAUGGCCAUGAUGAGUCUAAGACUUCAAGAAACAUGGGUAGUUUUCGUGAGAUGUUGAAUUGGUAUGCUAAAAGAUGCAAAGCUGCAGCUGAUGAACUCAAUGAUAAAUUGAUAAUGCUCCUCGGAAUCAUCAAAUGGCUUGUCAUGAUAUCCAGAAGCAAAUUGUACAUGCUUGCGCAGAAAAACCACCGAGGUCAUCAUGACUGAGCUUGGGGAUGGUCAUUUCUCUCCACCAACAACAAGUGGCUAUCAUUGUGAGGUUUCUAAACAUAAAAGAAGAUAUUUUGGAAAGGUUACUUGGUGUCAAGCAUGUUGUCAACACCACAUCUGCGUCUCUCAAAAGAUCCUUGAGUGAAGUGUUUGCUAACCAUAAAUUAUCGAUGUCUAGAUUGAGAGGUCAAUGGUAUGAUGGAGCCUCAAAUACGCGGGGGCACUAAAUGAUUAAAGAAACUAGUGUUAGAUGAAACUCCUCGUGCAUUAUAUGUUCACCGCUCCGCCCAUCAGCUUCAAUUACUAGUUGUGGCUUUUGUGAAGGGCAUUCUUGCCGUUAGUGAUUUCUUUGGAUAUGCAAAUAUGAUUGUAAUCAUGGUUACUGAUCUUUUGUUGACUUGUUCCCAAUGCUGUGUUUUGUAGGUCAGUGCUUCCUUGUGAAAGAAAAAAUGCAUCGCUACAAAAGCUUCAUACCAAAAUUGUGUGGCAAGUAGAGAAUGGGGAGAUUCUUAAAGGAAGAAGCAAACAUCAAGAGACGACUUUAGCAAGACCUGGUGAUACGCGAUGGGGGUCUCAUCAUAGAACAUUGAUUCGGUGAUUCAAGUGUAUGCAAUUUGCCAAUUUCUCAUGAUGGGGAAGAUGCUGAUGAUGGAAGCAAAGUAUCAGGUUUGAUGAAAUAUAUGGAGGUCUUUGAAUUUGUUCUAAAUCUUGCAUUUGAUGCUUAAAGUGCUUGGUUUGACUAAUGACUUGUGACAAGCAUUGCAACAGAAGGACUAAAAUAUAGUAGUAAGUGCAAUGGAAAUGAUUGUGUCUGAAAAGUUUAUUGCAGCAGCUGAGGGAUGAAGGAUAGGAGCCACUUCGUUUUGUGUUGAGAGAGAGAUACUAGUGCCUAGUAUGAAUGAGAAUAUUCCAGCAAGGAGUUCCACAAAAUGGUUUGUGCUUCCAUCACUGUUUGUAAAGCGUCCCUAAAGCGACGCUUAAGCGUCAGAGCACCCUCCAGGCUCAAAGCAUCCAGCUCGCUUUAGACAUGUGUCUAAGGCGUCCGCCUUAUAGACAUUAAAGCGUCUUAAGUGCCUGCUUAGGCGUCUUAAGUGCCCGCUUAGGCGUCCUGAUUGGCACAUUAGUGCAGAGAGGACGCCUUAGACUUGCCAGGCAGGGGAACAGAGAUUUCUGGCGGGAAAAGGGGCUGGGCGGGAACACAAGGGCGGGAAAACUGGGCUCACAGGUUAAACAGUUACAGGAGGGGAAAGAAAGAGAGAGAACCAAAACCUCUGCUGUUACCUGCUGCUGCUGCCUCAGAUCUGCACCAGCUUGUCAUGCCUUUCCUGCUCUGUUAUGUGUUAUGCUAUGCACAGCUCCUCUGCUGUUAGCUGCUGCUGCUGCCUCUCUUAUAUUAGUUGGUUGGUUGCUUACUGCUUAGUGGAUGGAUUAGAAUAAUGGCUACUAAUGCAUAUGUGCUCACUCGUGGAUUAGAGUCAAGGUAUGUAUGUCUCACCUAAAUGGUACUCUAUUCUACUGCCCAUCAGGUUCAGAGUCUGUCUAAAGUGUCGCCUCGCUUUACGCUUAAGCAAUGAGGCACCCCCCAGCGCCUCGCUUCGCUUUACCGCUUUUAAAACAUUGGCUUCCAUCACUACAAGAUUGAAAUACUCAAGGUUCUUGAAGAAGCAUAGCUGAGAUGAACAAUCGACUUAGUAAGACUUAAACAAGGUUAUUGAUAUGCAUUACGAUUUACGAGUCUAGAUCCUAGAGACUCAUUUAGCAGAUUUAAUCAUGAGAAGCUACUUGGGCUUGCAUCUAUUUUCUCAGUUGACUUCAAUCAAGAAGACCAAUAUCAUUUGGAUGGUCAGCUCAAGAUAUAAAUUGAUACGAUGAAAAGGUCUGCUGUUUUUUGUGGUUGUGAUAGUCUCGCUAAUCUUCCUCUCAAGUUGGUUGAAACUAAGGAACAUUUACAAUUUCCUUGCCUCGGCAGGAUUUUCCUUUCAUUCUUCCUCUAUAUUGUUUGCGAAAUCUGGUUCUUUUGGGGUUAUAGUCGAUGGUUCUCUUUCUUAGUUCCAUCUCUACUGCAAAACUGGACAUGAGAGUUUCUUCUCAUCCAGCUCCUCGCGAAUGGAAUGAGAAAGCAUGUAAAUUUCUCUAAUUCAUAAUAUUCCAAAAUAUUACGGUACGGAUAGAUGGCUUCUUAUUUUUAAUGGAAUGAAAUAAAUAUUCGCGCUUUCUGACACAGAAUCCCCUAGAAGGGUUGGUUUAUCGGCUCAUCAAACUUGCUUUGACUUUGUCAGUAGCGACGGCAUCAGUUGAAAGAGUUUUCUCAGCGACUAACAUCAUAAAGACAGAUUUGACAAAUAAGAUAUCUGAUAAUUGGUUGAAUGAUAUGAUGAUAUGCUAUCCUGAGCGAGAAAUAUUUGCUAGAAUUGAUAACAAGAAGAUUAUUGAAAAUUUUCAUGGCUUCAGGAACCUUAGAGGCCAUCUACCAAACCAUCCUCGUAUAAUUACAACUUCAGUAAAUACUUUUCUUAGCUGUUGUUUCAAACUAUUAGCAUACUUGUGCUAAGAUAUAUAUUGAUAUGCAGCUUGUUCACUAGUUGUAGGUACCUAUUAGAAUUGGAGUUGGACAUUUUGGGCCAGGGAAUGAAUGAUUCAAGCAGCGGGAGUCCAUGUUAGUAGCUCUCUAUGGCAUUUAUGUUGUCUUUUGUGUUUUUUGGUGGUUGCGCCACCUAGUUGUUGAGAAUCUUGAACUAUUUUGAACCAUUAGUUAUGUUAAUUUUCGAGUGCA